rnacentral:rRNA from 1 species
CCAGCUAUUUUUACCUUGGAAAAAAUUAAGAGUGCUCAAAGGCAGGCGCUUGCUCGAAUAUCGGUGCAUGGAAUAAUGGAAUAGGGCCUUGGCUCUAUUUUGUUGGUCUAUGAGUACGAGGCAAUGAUUAAGAGAAACAGUCGGGGGCAUUUGUAUUGCGACGUUAGAGGUGAAAUUCUUGGAUCGUCGCAAGACAAACAACUGCGAAAGCAUUUGCCAAGAAUGUUUUCAUUAAUCAAGAACGAAAGUUAGAGGUUCGAAGGCGAUCAGAUACCGCCCUAGUUCUAACCGUAAACGAUGCCAACUAGCGAUUCGCAGAAGUUAGUUAAACGACUCUGCGAGCAGCUUCCGGGAAACCAAAGUUUUUGGGUUCCGGGGGAAGUAUGGUUGCAAAGCUGAAACUUAAAGGAAUUGACGGAAGGGCACCACCAGGAGUGGAGCCUGCGGCUUAAUUUGACUCAACGCGGGAAAACUCACCCGGCCCGGACACUAUAAGGAUUGACAGACUAAAAGCUCUUUCUUGAUUUGGUGGAUGGUGGUGCAUGGCCGUUCUUAGUUGGUGGAGUGAUUUGUCUGGUUAAUUCCGAUAACGAACGAGACUCUAGCCUACUAAAUAGACUGCGGGUUUCGUUGCUCGCAGAGCUUCUUAGAGGGACUAGUGACGUUUAGUCACGUGAAGGAGAGCAAUAACAGGUCUGUGAUGCCCUUAGAUGUUCGGGGCCGCACGCGCGCUACAAUGAACAAGGCAGAAAGUUUAUGCUCCUUCUCCGAAGUGAGAGGGCAACCUGCAAACUUGUUCGUGAUUGGGACAGGGAAUUGUGAUUAUUUCCCUUGAACGAGGAAUUCCUAGUAGGUUCAGCUCAACACGCUGAGCCGAUUACGUCCCUGCCCUUUGUACACACCGCCCGUCGCUACUACCGAUUGAGCGACUAAGUGAGGGUCUUGGAAUCUCGGCGUUGACUCUUUGUCUCGCUGGGGUGAAGAUCCCAAA